rnacentral:rRNA from 1 species
UACGGGGGGGGCAAGCGUUGUUCGGAAUUACUGGGCGUAAAGGGCUCGUAGGCGGCCAGCUAAGUCAGACGUGAAAUCCCUCGGCUUAACCGGGGAACUGCGUCUGAUACUGGAUGGCUUGAGAUUGGGAGAGGGAUGCGGAAUUCCAGGUGUAGCGGUGAAAUGCGUAGAUAUCUGGAGGAACACCGGUGGCGAAGGCGGCAUCCUGGACCAACACUGACGCUGAGGAGCGAAAGCCAGGGGAGCAAACGGG